rnacentral:misc_RNA from 1 species
GAUGAAGAACGCAGCGAAAUGCGAUAAGUAGUGUGAAUUGCAGAAUUCAGUGAAUCAUCGAAUCUUUGAACGCACAUUGCGCCCCUUGGUACUCCAUGGGGCAUGCCUGUUCGAGCGUCAUUUACACCCUCAAGCACUGCUUGGUGUUGGGCGUCUGUCUUGCUAUUAUGUGCAGACUCGCCUUAAAAUUAUUGGCGGCUCCCCGGCUAGCUCCCAGCGCAGCAGAAUCAGCGCUGUGGCGGGCUCGGCCGGGCAGCGUCCAGCAAGGCCCUUUUGGCUUGACCUCGGAUCAGGUAGGGAUACCCGCUGAACUUAAGCAUAUCAAUAAGCGGAGGA